UACGUAGGGUGCGAGCGUUAAUCGGAAUUACUGGGCGUAAAGCGUGCGCAGGCGGUUUUGUAAGACAGAGGUGAAAUCCCCGGGCUUAAACUGGGAACUGCCUUUGUGACUGCAAGGCUUGAGUGCGGCAGAGGGGGAUGGAAUUCCGCGUGUAGCAGUGAAAUGCGUAGAUAUCCGGAGGAACACCAGUGGCGAAGGCGGCUUCCUGGCCCGAAUCUGACGCUGAGGUGCGGAAGCGUGGGGAGCGAUCCGG
rnacentral:rRNA from 1 species